GGGAAACAGGUUAAUAUUCCUGUACUUGGUGUUACUGCGAAGGGGGGACGGAGAAGGCUAUGUUGGCCGGGCGACGGUUGUCCCGGUUUAAGCGUGUAGGCUGGUUUUCCAGGCAAAUCCGGAAAAUCAAGGCUGAGGCGUGAUGACGAGGCACUACGGUGCUGAAGCAACAAAUGCCCUGCUUCCAGGAAAAGCCUCUAAGCAUCAGGUAACAUCAAAUCGUACCCCAAACCGACACAGGUGGUCAGGUAGAGAAUACCAAGGCGCUUGAGAGAACUCGGGUGAAGGAACUAGGCAAAAUGGUGCCGUAACUUCGGGAGAAGGCACGCUGAUAUGUAGGUGAAGUCCCUCGCGGAUGGAGCUGAAAUCAGUCGAAGAUACCAGCUGGCUGCAACUGUUUAUUAAAAACACAGCACUGUGCAAACACGAAAGUGGACGUAUACGGUGUGACGCCUGCCCGGUGCCGGAAGGUUAAUUGAUGGGGUCAGCGCAAGCGAAGCUCUUGAUCGAAGCCCCGGUAAACGGCGGCCGUAACUAUAACGGUCCUAAGGUAGCGAAAUUCCUUGUCGGGUAAGUUCCGACCUGCACGAAUGGCGUAAUGAUGGCCAGGCUGUCUCCACCCGAGACUCAGUGAAAUUGAACUCGCUGUGAAGAUGCAGUGUACCCGCGGCAAGACGGAAAGACCCCGUGAACCUUUACUAUAGCUUGACACUGAACAUUGAGCCUUGAUGUGUAGGAUAGGUGGGAGGCUUUGAAGUGUGGACGCCAGUCUGCAUGGAGCCGACCUUGAAAUACCACCCUUUAAUGUUUGAUGUUCUAACGUGGACCCGUGAUCCGGGUUGCGGACAGUGUCUGGUGGGUAGUUUGACUGGGGCGGUCUCCUCCUAAAGAGUAACGGAGGAGCACGAAGGUUGGCUAAUCCUGGUCGGACAUCAGGAGGUUAGUGCAAUGGCAUAAGCCAGCUUGACUGCGAGCGUGACGGCGCGAGCAGGUGCGAAAGCAGGUCAUAGUGAUCCGGUGGUUCUGAAUGGAAGGGCCAUCGCUCAACGGAUAAAAGGUACUCCGGGGAUAACAGGCUGAUACCGCCCAAGAGUUCAUAUCGACGGCGGUGUUUGGCACCUCGAUGUCGGCUCAUCACAUCCUGGGGCUGAAGUAGGUCCCAAGGGUAUGGCUGUUCGCCAUUUAAAGUGGUACGCGAGCUGGGUUUAGAACGUCGUGAGACAGUUCGGUCCCUAUCUGCCGUGGGCGCUGGAGAACUGAGGGGGGCUGCUCCUAGUACGAGAGGACCGGAGUGGACGCAUCACUGGUGUUCGGGUUGUCAUGCCAAUGGCACUGCCCGGUAGCUAAAUGCGGAAGAGAUAAGUGCUGAAAGCAUCUAAGCACGAAACUUGCCCCGAGAUGAGUUCUCCCUGACCCUUUAAGGGUCCUGAAGGAACGUUGAAGACGACGACGUUGAUAGGCCGGGUGUGUAAGCGCAGCGAUGCGUUGAGCUAACCGGUACUAAUGAACCGUGAGGCUUAACCUUACAACGCCGAAGGUGUUU
rnacentral:rRNA from 1 species